GAUGAACGCUGGCGGCGUGCUUAACACAUGCAAGUCGAACGGGAAACCUUUUAUUGAAGCUUCGGCAGAUUUAGCUGGUUUCUAGUGGCGGCCGGGUGAGUAACGCGUGGGUAGCCUGCCUUAUACAGGGGGAUAACAGUCAGAAAUGGCUGCUAAUACCGCAUCAGCGCACAGAGCUGCAUGGCUCAGUGUGAAAAACUCCGGUGGUAUAAGCUGGACCCGCGUUGGAUUAGCUGGUUGGUGGGGUAACGGCCCACCACGGUGACGAUCCGUAGCCGGCCUGAGAGGGUGAACGGACACAUUUAGACUGAGACACAGCCCAGACUCCUACGGAAUGCAGCAGUGGGUAAUAGUGCACAAUGGGGGAAACCCUGAUGCAGCGACGCCGCUUGAAGUAAGAAGUAUCUCGGUAUGUAAACUUCUAGCAGCAGUGAAGAUAAUGACGGUACCUGACUAAGAAGCCCCGGCUAACUACGUG
rnacentral:rRNA from 1 species